UUAAAGAGUUUCAAAAUUAAAUCUCGUCCACAGUUGGAGAUGUCAUCAUUUAGUUUGUUCAGUUUCUCCAUUGUUACUGCAGGAUAUGCUUCAUUGUGUUCUAGUUUCCAUGGAGAAGGCUUUUGGAAGAUCAUUCCUUGAAUACUUCACGGACGGUUUUCAACUAACUUGAACAAAAUGACAGCAACACUUAGAGGACUCAUUCACAAAGUGUUCCAAAUCGCCACAGGACACUUGGGUUGAUUUACAAGGUAAAUUGUUCAAAAGCUCAAACAUUUCUAAAAUCUGUCUGAUGAUGAGCAACAAAGAGAGAAAGCACCAGUGCGAUGCAAAACUCUUUGUUUUUGAUGUCAACAUCAGCUUCCCAGAAUAUCGGGAACCAGUUACUGUGUGUGUGUGUGUGUGUAUGUAAUUUUGACAACUACAACUUGUUUGGACACACUUAAAAAUUGUAUAUCUGACAACAGUUCCAAGUGAGAUUCUAAUUCAUAGAUUGCUGUUUUAGCAAGAACGUUGUUUUCACCAUGAAACUUCAUUUUACCAAAGUUCACAUUGGUAUUAUUACCACAAAGUCAUCUAAACUCGUGGGGGCAGGAAGAAAUAAAGUCACAUGCCCCGGGCCCUUCCCUCUAAUCUGGGGGACCAGCGCCAUCCUCUCUUGACACAACCCCGCCUGCAGGUGCAGCUGGGGCAGGCAGCAGACCAGCGCUGGCUCACUCUGCUCCUCUCUGUUCCGAGGCCGUUCUUCUAGAGGCUCUGGACACACACCCCGUGUAUGUGUUUCUAAUAAUCAACCUCAAGAGCGGCCAUCCCCAUAGCCCUCCAGGGAGGAUGGUUGCCUGGGACCCUGGUGGGCUGGAGAUGGAGACAUGGGGUCCCUGGACACUGAUUCUGCUGUCAUCCUUCAGAGGACAUGCUCUUGCAGACGCUGAGCUGGGUUCAACGAACAGAAAAGCAGCCCUUUGAGCGGAAGUGAAGAGAUCGCUAGACUUCUUUCUUCAGGAUUGUCCUGGGAACCUGAGAACUCACAGGCAGCUGUCUCUAUUCUGGCAGGAUCCUAACUGGGUGACCCUUGCCACUGGCAGCUGUGGCCAGAGAGAACCGAGGGGCAGGGAGAAGCCAGACAGACCUGUGCUGUUCCUGCUCCCUUUCUUGGGACCCGCGUGGUGCCAUCAGGUCUGCAGCUCAGCCACCUGAGUUGGGGGUUUCCAGAAAGUCUGUCUCUGCGUGUUUCCUUCCCACCUCGUCCUGAUUAAUUCUCCUGUUUGAUCGUUCAUCUCUUCCUACCUACUGAUCACCAAGCAUGUAUAUGCAUUUUUUAUGUAUAAAUAUAUUAUGUAACGUUAUAUUCUAUAUUUAUAAUAAUUAAUAUAAAUAUGUAAAUAAAAUAUAGCACAGAGUAUUAU
rnacentral:lncRNA from 1 species